AGAGACUAGGGGUACCGGCCGCGGGGCCAGCUCAGGCAUCGUCCGUCCCCGGCGGGAAGGCCCCGGCCGGCGAAGGCCGGUUGGCGGCUGCAGGGAAGUCCGCGCCGCCGCUCAGGGGGAGGCCGCUGAAGGGCCGACCGAGCGCGGCCAUGGCCCGGGGAGACGAGGGGGCUGCGUCCGCGGCCCAGGCCGCCCGCGUCCCCCAGGCCCCGCGGCUGCAGCCACAGCGAUUGUCGAGAGGUGCCCGCCUCUGAGCCCGCUCUUGACCUCACGUCACGCCUUCUAGAACCCUCCACCCCGGGCCGCCCAGGGGCACGCUGGGAUUUGUUGUGUGUGGAGAGCGGCUGCCGCGAGGAAUGCUGGGAGUCGCAGUCCUGGGGAACUACAAACAAGAUGGCUGCCUUGGCUGAGCGGCUAAAGCUUGAGGAUGGCUCUGUCAGGCUUUGGCCUGACCUAGGUUCGAAUCCUCCCUUCACAAGUCACAUCUCAGACCUUGUUUGAUGUGGACAUUCUGAGAAGCUGUUUAACAGGAAGACACCAAGUCCUACCUGAUAGCACCAGGCCAGUAUCAGCUGUCAGAAGAUGCUUCUCUCCUAACCAAAAAUCGAAGUAUCAUCGAUGCCCCUUUUGUAUUCACCCCUGUAUUUAAUCAGGUCAUCUGGACAUUGUCAUUGUCAUCCUGAGUACUGAUGGUGGCGAUGAGGCAUCGUCACAUGACUUCUCAGGUCCAAGGGAGCCUGGAGCAGAAGAGGAAGGACAUGGCAGAUACUACCACCUGCUUGAUCAUAGUUGAAAACACCAGUUAUAUUAUGAAAGCUUUGACUAGAAUGUCAUGUUUGAAAAUGAUGCUUAAAAUCAGACAUGACCAGACAAUUUCAAGGAACUACGGUUGAUUCUUUGGAGCCACUGCUUACAAAGCCCUCUUGGAAAAACCGACCUGGUAUAUGAGAGAGAGACUUAGGUAAGUAAGGUAACUUCCUGGAGAGUCCAGGAAGCUCAGGAUAUUUUGGUGACCUUGAGAAGAGAGGAGUUCACCCACUGAAGUUCAUGAAGCCUGAUGGAGGAGUCUUGGCUUGACUUCCUAGCACUUGAGAAACUUUUAAAGCCCAACAUCAGAUUCCUUAUAAAAACUUCCAUAAAGAAAACUUAAAAGGCCUGUAUGAUCGAUUAUCGUUCUUGUUGGAGUUACAUAAAUAAUCAGGUCAAACUUAAUGAAACUAAAACUAUUUUGUAAACAAGAAUAAUCUUUCUUUAUCGCUGAUUAAAAAGGAGGGGUGACUGUGGAGAUAAAUUUUGUUUCAGUGGAAAAGAAUAACACACUCCUGUGGGUUAUCAGAAUCGAGACUUGUUGUCUUUGAGGUUGUUUACCUGUAAAUGAAACGGAAUCCUGCCACCUUACACGUUUUGUCAGCCCUUACCAAAUCCUCAAUUCUCCUAGUUUUCUUCAGUAUCUGGCCACAACUCUACAAACUUAUGUCUCCAAUUUUUCUCCUUCCCUCCUGAGUUGGUGUCACUAAGAAGUAAAGCCUGCCCGCCUAGAUCCUUCCUGGGACUCAGGUUGUCUUGUAGUGGCCCCUGUCCUCCAGGCCCCGAACAAGCCCUGAGCUGAAGCCUGAUAACACGGGCCACCCUGAAAGCCCUCCAGGACUCCUGCCUCUUCCGUGCUCUGCUCUGGGCAAUGACCACGACUGUGACAAUGCUGCCUGUGCCAUCACCAUCAAACAUCAACCAGGAAACCCAUCAGAUUGCCGCUGCCACCCUCACGUCACCAUCUAAAGAUGCUUAAGAGUUCAACGUCUUCUCAAGUGGCUGCACUCUCGACUCAGAAACUGGGUUUAUAGCAGUGGUUCUCAACCUUCCUAAUGCCGCGACCCUUUAACACAGUUCCUCAUGUUGUGGGGACCCCCGAUUUCAUUGUUACAAAUUGAACAUAAUGAAAGCAUAGUGAUUAAUCACAAAAACAAUAUGUAAUUAUAUAUGUGUUUUCCGAUGGUCUUAGGCGACCCCUGUGAAAGGGUCGUUCGACCCCCAAGGGGGUCAAGACCCACAGGUUGAGAGCCGCUGGUUUAUAGUCUGCUCCAACCAGUAAUCUUUGUUUUUCUUUUUGUUUCCAUAGAGAUGCUCCUCAUUAAAUGCCCGAUCCCUCACA